rnacentral:rRNA from 1 species
GACGAACGCUGGCGGCGUGCCUAAUACAUGCAAGUAGAACGCUGAAGAGAGGAGCUUGCUCUUCUUGGAUGAGUUGCGAACGGGUGAGUAACGCGUAGGUAACCUGCCUUGUAGCGGGGGAUAACUAUUGGAAACGAUAGCUAAUACCGCAUAACAAUGGAUGACACAUGUCAUUUAUUUGAAAGGGGCAAUUGCUCCACUACAAGAUGGACCUGCGUUGUAUUAGCUAGUAGGUGAGGUAAUGGCUCACCUAGGCGACGAUACAUAGCCGACCUGAGAGGGGGAUCGGCCACACUGGGACUGAGACACGGCCCAGACUCCUACGGGAGGCAGCAGUAGGGAAUCUUCGGCAAUGGGGGCAACCCUGACCGAGCAACGCCGCGUGAGGGAAGAAGGUUUUCGGACCGUAAAGCUCUGUUGUAAGUCAAGAACGGGUGUGAGAGUGGAAAGUUCACACUGUGACGGUAGCUUACCAGAAAGGGACGGCUAACUACGUG